UUAAUCAACUACAAAUACAUGUCAAGUCGAAAUUGCAACUAUGAAGCUUCUAAAAAGCUAUUCUAAAAAAUAUUAUCAAAUUUAUUUAUUUUAAUUCACUUCUAUAUAUUCAUAUAAUUUGAUAACUAUUGGAAUAAAUAUAUAUGUCUAUGACAAUAUGUCUUCUAUUUUAAAAUAUAUGUAUUAUAAAGAUAUUGAUGUUGCCUUUGAA
rnacentral:lncRNA from 1 species